rnacentral:rRNA from 1 species
AUUGAACGCUAGCGGGAUGCUUUACACAUGCAAGUCGAACGAGUGGCGGACGGGUGAGUAAUAUAUCGGAACGUGCCCAGUAGCGGGGGAUAACUACUCGAAAGAGUGGCUAAUACCGCCUACUAUUGGAUCGUCCGAUAUCGGAUUAGCAAGUUGGUGGGGUAAAUGCUCACCAAGGCAACAAUCCUUAGCUGGUUUGAGAGGACGACCAUCCAAACUGGGACUGAGACACGGCCCAGAAUCCUACGGUAGGCAGCCGUUGGGAAUUUUGGACAAUGGGGGAAACCAUGAUGCAGCCAUCCCGCGUGUAUGAGAAGGCCUUCGGGUUGUAAAGUACUUUUGGCAGAGAAGCGGUAUCUGCAGAAUAAGCACCGGCUAACUACGUGCCAGCAGCCGCGGUAAUAC